AUACACAGCAGAGAGCAUGCCACACCACAUCUGGAAGUCUGGCCCUGCUGGACCUUAAGCAGGAGUUUCAGAACCACAGGUCCAUGCCUUUUUGGUACUUCAACCUGUAGGAGAAAAGCCUUGCAAGCUCUUUUCCCCAUUUAGGCUUUAAACAUUUUAAACCCUGCCAUCUAAUACCACUGAAUCUUCUUCCUCUGACAAGGUUUAUAAGGUUUGUUUCUACUUGCAUCAUGGAAAUUUAACCACUUGAAUACAGUGUUCUAGCACAGGGCAUACUGAGAAGGAGAGGGCAUCUGAAGGUCUACAGGAAAAUGGCACAAUAGGGCUGACCCAAGAAAACCCCAAAAACAAUGGAGCUAAAAAACACAGCAUAUUCAGAAGGCACAAAUUCAGCUGAAUUUGCCUGUGUCUGCCUGCAUUAUUACUGUCGUUCAGAUGUGCAUACAAAUGCUGUUUAUGUUCUGUCUCUAUUGCACUGGGUCUUGUGACUGCAUGGAGCUGUAUCAGUGACUACACCUCCGUGGUGAUGAGAUGUUCCUCUGAAAGGCGAAGGCAAAGGUCUGCAUUUGUGCUAUUAAAUCCAACGUGCAUAUGCGGGAGAGGAAAGCUUAUACCAAAUACAAACACACUGCAAACGCCUGAACACGUCCCCUCCAAUUGCCUCAGCAAGGAGUUCAAAUCCGCAUUAAUCUGCUCUCUGCUUGCAGCUCACAACCCGAUUAUAUCUCCCCGCGCCCCACAUCUCAGCCCACACGCUCGGCUGUGCCAUGGGGUUUGCUCAGCCCAGUACGACCAGGCUGCUCCCCAAAUCCCAGGCUGCUCCCCAAAUCCCGGGCUGCUCCCCAAAUCCCAGGCUGCUCCCCAAAACCCAGGCUGCUCCCCAAAUCCCGGGCUGCUCCCCAAAUCCCCGGCUUCCCUGGGCCGGUGGGAGAGGGCAGAGCCUGCGCCUCGGCAGAGGCCGGGCUCGUCCCUGGUUCAGCGCCACAGUUCGCACUGGGGCAGAGGGCAGAUUUUCAGGACCAUGCUACAGGUGCUGUGGAAAUAA
rnacentral:lncRNA from 1 species